UAUUUCUUUCUUUUUCUCUAUCAACUUGUUAUUCCAAAGAAUUAAGUUGAAGUUUCGUGAUUAAGUCAUAGAAAGUCUGUUACUUGAUAAAUCAAAGAUGAAGUGAUGGAUCUAUAGGUUGAUUUGGUUUUAGAGAGGAAGAAAAUACGAUUAUGAUCUGAAUUAGGUUUUUGAUAGAAGAUUGAGAAGUGAAUCGAGACGUUGAGGGAUGAAGAAGAGAUGGGUUGUUGUUAAAUCGAUGAAGUGAAGCUUUUGUAACGAUGAAUCAAAGAAGUUAUGGUUUAUAGAAGAAAAUUCAAAGAAGAAUUUGAAGAUGAAAUUGGUGAUCCUAGAGGAUGAUUAGACUUGGGUAUUUGGCGGUUAUGUGGAUUAAAGUGGAGUUACAGGGGGAAUUGAGUUUCAAUUGAUGAAACUGGUGAAGGUGAUGAACUUCAGGUCCAGAACGUUAAUCCUAGGGUAGCAAUUGAAGUAAGUGGUGAAGUAUUAAUCAGAGGAUGCUGGUGUUAUGGGUAAGCCUCUAAAUUAUCUGAAUUUUAGUAUUUUGAUUUGAAUGGUUAUAAUUGUUGAGGUUUUGUGAAUAUAUCUGAGUUGGAGAUGAGUUAUGAGUUGUUAAUGAAAGUAUAAUGAAACUGACAUUUAGGUAACUAUUAUGUGUAUGUUGAAUUGAAGUUAUUUUGGAUGGAUUGAUUGUGGUGUUGAUUACUGGUGGUGGUAUGAAUGAAUUGGGGAUUGAAUAUCAGUUGAGUAUUAUGUUUCUGUUUAAGAGGACUUGUGCUUGAUGGAGAUUGCAGGUGUUGUGAACAUAAUUGGAUAUGGGAUCGAUUUGAGUAUUGUUGUUGAUGUGGUAGCUACUGGAAUGUUGUUGAAUACAAGGAAAGGUUUGUUGUAGAGGAAGAGUUAUGGUUCUGUUGAAUCUGAGAUGGUAGUGAACUGGAGAAUAUGUUAUGGGUUGGUCUGCUUGAAUGGAUGUUAUUGUUGGGGUUGUGUGGAUUUAUGAUAAUAGAGAUUGAGAUUGGUUAUGUGUUGAUGUUGUUGAACUGGGUAGUUAUAACUGAAAAGAAAGAAGAAGAGUUGAACUGAAUUGGGCCAGAUUGUGUUGCGGUUGAGCUGUAUUGCAGGAACGUAGAUUCUGAGAUGAAGGUUAGAUGAGGGUGUCGAGUUGAACCUCUUUAGUGAAAGAUUGUAACUACAUUGAUGAUGGUAGGGAAUAGCUUAUAGCUCCACUGGAGGCUUGCUACUGCAAUUGCAUGUAGGCUUAAAUUGCAGUUGUAUUUGUGUAUUAAUCUUGAAGUUUGUUUAGAAUGAAUGAAAUGUAUAAUGAUUGUAUAAA